UACGAAGGGGGCUAGCGUUGCUCGGAAUCACUGGGCGUAAAGGGUGCGUAGGCGGAUCUUUAAGUCAGGGGUGAAAUCCUGGAGCUCAACUCCAGAACUGCCUUUGAUACUGAAGAUCUUGAGUUCGGGAGAGGUGAGUGGAACUGCGAGUGUAGAGGUGAAAUUCGUAGAUAUUCGCAAGAACACCAGUGGCGAAGGCGGCUCACUGGCCCGAUACUGACGCUGAGGCACGAAAGCGUGGGGAGCAAACAGG
rnacentral:rRNA from 1 species